ACGAACGCUGGCGGCGUGCUUCACACCUGCAAGUCGAACGAAGAGCGAUGGAAGCUUGCUUCUAUCAAUCUUAGUGGCGAACGGGUGAGUAACGCGUAAUCAACCUGCCCUUCAGAGGGGGACAACAGUUGGAAACGACUGCUAAUACCGCAUACGAUCUAAUCUCGGCAUCGAGGAUAGAUGAAAGGUGGCCUCUACAUGUAAGCUAUCACUGAAGGAGGGGAUUGCGUCUGAUUAGCUAGUUGGAGGGGUAACGGCCCACCAAGGCGAUGAUCAGUAGCCGGUCUGAGAGGAUGAACGGCCACAUUGGGACUGAGACACGGCCCAGACUCCUACGGGAGGCAGCAGUGGGGAAUCUUCCGCAAUGGACGAAAGUCUGACGGAGCAACGCCGCGUGAGUGAUGACGGCCUUCGGGUUGUAAAGCUCUGUUAAUCGGGACGAAAGGCCUUCUUGCGAAUAGUGAGAAGGAUUGACGGUACCGGAAUAGAAAGCCACGGCUAACUACGUG
rnacentral:rRNA from 1 species